rnacentral:lncRNA from 1 species
UGCAACUGUAUGAUUUUACAUGCGUGAACAUUCUAUAUGAUAUCAUCAUGUACACAAUAAACACACAAGACACAACUGCUUGAAUGACAACGAUUUGCAAACCCUAUUUGAUGCAAACACUUACACCGUAUCAUGUGCAACACAUCCUAGGUCGUGUGUUACGGACUUAGAGAUUUAUAAACCCCAGAAGCAAUAACAUACCGAGCAAACCAAGGUGAGUUCACACAGCCAAGGCAUGGGGUUCCCAGGGUGGGAAUGGGAUAGAUUACUUACUGGACAUUAGGUACAUAUGGAGCUUGC